rnacentral:rRNA from 1 species
GACGAACGCUGGCGGCGUGCCUAAUACAUGCAAGUAGAACGCACAGUUUAUACCGUAGCUUGCUACACCAUAGACUGUGAGUUGCGAACGGGUGAGUAACGCGUAGGUAACCUGCCUGGUAGCGGGGGAUAACUAUUGGAAACGAUAGCUAAUACCGCAUAUUAUUGAUUAUUGCAUGAUAAUGGAUUGAAAGUUGCUAUUGCAUCACUACCAGAUGGACUUGCGUUGUAUUAGCUAGUAGGUGAGGUAACGGCUCACCUAGGCGACGAUACAUAGCCGACCUGAGAGGGUGAUCGGCCACACUGGGACUGAGACACGGCCCAGACUCCUACGGGAGGCAGCAGUAGGGAAUCUUCGGCAAUGGACGAAAGUCUGACCGAGCAACGCCGCGUGAGUGAAGAAGGUUUUCGGACCGUAAAGCUCUGUUGUAAGAGAAGAACGGGUGUGAGAGUGGAAAGUUCACACUGUGACGGUAUCUUACCAGAAAGGGACGGCUAACUACGUG